rnacentral:lncRNA from 1 species
UUUAUAGUAAAAUUUUAGACUUUACUAUUUUUAAUGGAGAAAUAAACGGCAGCCUAGGGCCUCACUUCACUCGGGACCUAUAUAGGUCCGCCCCUGACACGAAACCUGCAGCAGGUAUUCGAGUUCCAGAUAAUCUUUAGCACUACCAUAUGUCCAUCUUUACCUCUACACUAGAAUUAGACAGCGCCUAUCAGGCGCUAUAAAAUUUCUUUGAUGCAGCUCUAGUGUCAUAUCAACGAAGACAUCAUGUGUUAGCAAAUGCUUCAGGAUUGUGCUCUAAUGCAGCCUCCCAAAUUUCAUAUAUGCCUUUCUGAAAUAUAGAUUAACAACAAUAUCAAAUAUUAGUGUCAGAUACUUGAAACUGUUUCGGAGGCGUAAGAUACAAAUAUUAGUGUGCCCUUGGCUGUUUGCAGUUUUCUAAAUUCAAUCAAGAUGAUAAGUGUUUACUUCUUUGUAUGAAGGAGAGUGGGAUACUGGCUGCUAGAGCUCAGUUUUCCAAACAUGACUUGGGAUACUGAGAAGAGUAUUGUUCAAUGACAUUGGUUCUGAUACUUCUCUGCUUCAUGUUUAGAGUACGUCAAUGGCUUGUGUGUCCGUUAACUCUAGCUCCCAACUACCGUGGAAUUAGAUCUCAAGGCAUUCUACUAAAUUUUAAUACUGGAAUAAGACCAAUUCUAAGCAUGAUUCUAAAUGCCAGGAAAUCGAGAGAGAGAAAAAACAAGUACCGCAAUCACACUUACCUUUUGCUAUAUUCACUGAAAGUGGGAGUUUCCAUGCCUUUAAACUAAAACAACGAAGAGGGUGAAUCAAAACAUAAGUAAUCUAAAAAAGUCUUUCAGCCACUGGUGGUUAACAAGUUUGAUUUUCCCUUUUUUGCAACCAUAUGCUUCUCCAACGAUACAUAACAAAACUAUCUAGCAUUAAAGAUAUAAUAUAUGCAUACAUAGCCAAAGAAAUGGACGACGAAAAAAUAGAAUCUCUAACUACUUUUGACCGGCCGGUGAUGGCUUGGCAGGACGCGGGAGCCGACUGGACGCUCGCCUGGCGCGCGUUGGGGUGGUUGCGCGCUGGCGGCGUGCGUGGGCGAGCACGUUGGCGCCUAGGUGGCGAACGCGGGCGAGCGCGCUGGAUGCUGGCUACUGGAACGUGAGGCUAGAGGCUGAGCCUGGAGGUGGCUGCUAGGAUUUGGCGUGGGGGCCAGGGGCGUUGCCAUUUACCAACAACGUCCUAGCGUGAGGGUGGCUAGAGCGUUAAGCAGUGGACGAAGCUUGGCGUGACCUAGGCCGCAGCCGAGUCCAGGUCUCCGCCACUGCCUUGGGGAUCAGGUCGCCGAGCUCCUUAGCGUGGGCGGUGCAGCUACGCCCAAUGACAACGACCUUUGUGCUUGUCGUCGUAGUUGCUGCCAUGGUCGGUGAGUGUUGGUGGACUGGAGGUUUCAAGGAUAAAGUGAAGGCGAAGGACAUGCAAACUGGUUGCUUCGAAGCCCACCGUCCAGACAUUUAAUUAUCACGAAGCAUGAAUGGGUGGAGCAUAGGCGAGGCGGGACCCGCGGAUGUUGCCAUCGCAAUCACUGGACAGCCUCGCCCAUGCGGCCAUGCCUUCUCAGUCGUGCGAACAGCAUGCUUCCAGCUCCCACUCAGUGUGCGACCAUGUGUCAGGCUGCGAAAGCAUCGUAAAGCGAGAAGUGGCUGCUUGAAGGGAAAAGAGAUUUCUCUGACGCGCGUCGACUGAAGCGCGGGGAGGCGUCUAAAAGGGGUGAGGUUCUAAUAACUUAGAUUCUUCGGUCUAAACAUAGAUGAGUUGAGCAAAGGGACUUGUAUUGUACCACUGAAGAAAGACCACGACGAGGCUUGCUUGGCGUUC